UAUUGUUAGUAUUUUGGACUGCAUGCGUGUAUAAACUAACUAAAAUGAUUCAUAUCAAUAUCAAUACAUCAGCAAUAUAUAAAAGCAGCAAUUUGUACUAGUAAAAACAAGGCUAAAUUACAGAAAACCUCCCUGUCAAAAUUCGAUUUUUCACUUUUCUCCCUAUCAUUUAAAAACAUACACUUUGUCCCCUUAUAAAAUAAAAAAUAUUCACAGGAGGUAUAGUGUGAACUGUGAUGAUAAAAUGAUCAUUUUGUCCCUCACUAUUUUGCCCCUCACCAUAUUCACAGGAGAGAAGGCUGAGAAUAUUUUUGGCAUAAAAAAAAAUAUAAUAAUAUUUUAUAAACGGAACCCUAACGGCUUACUAACGGCAGGGGGCAAAGUGAACAUUUUUUAUUUUAUAAGUGGGCAAAGUAUAGGUUUUUAAAUGACAGAAAAAAAAGUAAAAAAUCGAGUUUUGACACUAGGGUUUUAUGUAAUUU
rnacentral:lncRNA from 1 species